rnacentral:rRNA from 1 species
UACGUAGGGUGCGAGCGUUAAUCGGAAUUACUGGGCGUAAAGCGUGCGCAGGCGGUUCGUUGUGUCGGUGGUGAAAUCCCCGGGCUUAACCUGGGAAUGGCCAUGGAAACUGGCGAACUGGAGUGCGGCAGAGGGGGGUGGAAUUCCGCGUGUAGCAGUGAAAUGCGUAGAGAUGCGGAGGAACACCGAUGGCGCAGGCAGCCCCCUGGGCUGACACUGACGCUCAGGCACGAAAGCGUGGGGAGCAAACAGG